AGAGUUUGAUCCUGGCUCAGGAUGAACGCUAGCGGCAGGCUUAACACAUGCAAGUCGAGGGGCAGCAUAAUGGAUAGCAAUAUCUAUGGUGGCGACCGGCGCACGGGUGCGUAACGCGUAUGCAACCUACCUUUAACAGGGGGAUAACACUGAGAAAUUGGUACUAAUACCCCAUAAUAUCAUAGAAGGCAUCUUUUAUGGUUGAAAAUUCCGAUGGUUAGAGAUGGGCAUGCGUUGUAUUAGCUAGUUGGUGGGGUAACGGCUCACCAAGGCGACGAUACAUAGGGGGACUGAGAGGUUAACCCCCCACACUGGUACUGAGACACGGACCAGACUCCUACGGGAGGCAGCAGUGAGGAAUAUUGGUCAAUGGACGCAAGUCUGAACCAGCCAUGCCGCGUGCAGGAUGACGGCUCUAUGAGUUGUAAACUGCUUUUGUACGAGGGUAAACGCAGAUACGUGUAUCUGUCUGAAAGUAUCGUACGAAUAAGGAUCGGCUAACUCCGUGCCAGCAGCCGCGGUAAUACGGAGGAUCCAAGCGUUAUCCGGAUUUAUUGGGUUUAAAGGGUGCGUAGGCGGUUUGAUAAGUUAGAGGUGAAAUACCGGUGCUUAACACCGGAACUGCCUCUAAUACUGUUGAACUAGAGAGUAGUUGCGGUAGGCGGAAUGUAUGGUGUAGCGGUGAAAUGCUUAGAGAUCAUACAGAACACCGAUUGCGAAGGCAGCUUACCAAACUAUAUCUGACGUUGAGGCACGAAAGCGUGGGGAGCAAACAGGAUUAGAUACCCUGGUAGUCCACGCAGUAAACGAUGAUAACUCGUUGUCGGCGAUACACAGUCGGUGACUAAGCGAAAGCGAUAAGUUAUCCACCUGGGGAGUACGUUCGCAAGAAUGAAACUCAAAGGAAUUGACGGGGGCCCGCACAAGCGGAGGAACAUGUG
rnacentral:rRNA from 1 species